GUGCUUGCUUUGGAAGCACAUAUACUAAACUUGGAUUGAUACAGAGAAGAUUAGGAUGGCCCCUGUGAAAAGAUGACAUGCACAUUUGUGAAGUGUUCCAUAUUUUA
ensembl:snRNA U6 U6 spliceosomal RNA